rnacentral:rRNA from 1 species
GACAGAGGGUGCAAACGUUGUUCGGAAUUACUGGGCGUAAAGGGCGCGCAGGCGGCUCUGAAAGUCAGAUGUGAAAGCCCCGGGCUUAACCUGGGAAUUGCAUUUGAUACUCUGGAGCUUGAGUACGGGAGAGGAGAGUGGAAUUCCCAGUGUAGAGGUGAAAUUCGUAGAUAUUGGGAAGAACACCGGUGGCGAAGGCGGCUCUCUGGACCGUAACUGACGCUGAGGCGCGAAAGCGUGGGGAGCAAACAGG